rnacentral:rRNA from 1 species
GACGAACGCUGGCGGCGUGCUUAACACAUGCAAGUCGAACGGUGAAAGCGGAGCUUGCUCCGCUGGAUCAGUGGCGAACGGGUGAGUAACACGUGGGCAACCUGCCCCUCACUUCGGGAUAGCUCCGGGAAACCGGGGCUAAUACCGGAUAUGACCUCCUUGGGCAUCCUUGGAGGUGGAAAGUUUUUCGGUGAGGGAUGGGCCCGCGGCCUAUCAGCUUGUUGGUGAGGUAGUGGCUCACCAAGGCGACGACGGGUAGCCGGCCUGAGAGGGCGACCGGCCACACUGGGACUGAGACACGGCCCAGACUCCUACGGGAGGCAGCAGUGGGGAAUAUUGCGCAAUGUGCGAAAGCCUGACGCAGCAACGCCGCGUGCGGGAUGACGGCCUUCGGGUUGUAAACCGCUUUCAGCAGGGAAGAAGCCGCAAGGUGACGGUACCUGCAGAAGAAGCACCGGCUAACUACGUGCCAGCAGCCGCCGCAG